CCAAGAAAUAGCAACAACAACAACGACAAAACAACAACAAAAAAGACAAAAAGACAAAAAAAAAGAAAAAAGAAAAAAAAAAAAAAGAACACUAAUCCGUCACGAAGGGCCCACCUUCAUGGCCUCAUCUAACCCUAGUUAUCUCCAAAGACCCUGUGUCCACAUACCAUCACUUUGAGGGGUAGGGUUUCAACAUACAAAUUCUAAAGGGACACAAGAAUUCCCUGGUGGCCUAGCAGAUAAGGUUUUGCACUGUCACUGCUGUGUGGCACAGUUUUGAUCCCUGGUCCAGGAAAUUUCACAUGCCACCAGUGCAGGAAAAAAAAUAAAAAAAGAAGAAAAUGCUCAAAGAAGGGUGAGGAUGUGAAUUCCCGCUGUGGCUUAGUGGGUUAUGAACCUGACUAGCAUCCAUGAGGAUGCUGGUUCAAUACCUGGCCUCGGUCAGUGGGUUAAGGAUCUGGCAUUAUUGUGGCUGUGGCAUAGGCCGGCAGCUGCAACUCCAAUUCCACACCUAGCACAGGAACUUCCAUAUCCUGCUGGUGUGGCCCUAAAAAAGGGGGGGGGGGAGGAUGAGGAUGAAUUAUUUAUUGGAGGGGCUCCUACUGGAUAACUUCAAAUGUUAAAGUAAAUAAUUAUAGUGAUAAAUUAUAACCUAUCAGACAAAAUAAGAAACCAUGUGCCAAUGUGAAUAUAUACAUAAACACAUAAGUUGAGGUAGUUCCCAUUUUGGCACAGCAGGUUAACAAUCCAGUGUUGUCUCUAUGGCAGCGUGGGUUUGAUUCGCUGGCUGUGCGUAGUGGGUUAAGGAUCAGAGUUGCUGCAGCUAUGGCAUAGGUAGCAGCUGCAGCUUGGAUUUGAUCCCUGGCUUCCACAGGCUGUGGGUGUGGCCAAAAAGAAAAAGAAUAAAUUGAAAGUGUAAUGAAGAAUGAGAUAUUUACAUGGUUUCAAAGUAUACCCCCACAAACUAUUAUUACUUAGGAGGAAAUAGUUACUUUAUAGUGGAAAAACUUGACAGAUACCACCUUAAUCUAGUGAUAAAAAUUAUCAUCAAUGGGCCAAAUUUCAUGUAAUAGGGUCAGUGGGAAAAAUGCAGUAUUGGAGUUCCCAUCAUGGCUCAGCAGAUUAACUUAUCUAGUAUCCAUGAGAACUCGGGUUCGAUCCCUGGCCCCACUCAGUGGGUUAAAGAUCCAGUGUUGCCAUGAGCUGUGGUGUAGGUCACAGACACGGCUCGGAUCCCACAUUGCUGUGGCUGUGGCGUGGGCUAGUGGCUACAGCUCCGAUUAGACCCCUAGCCUGGGAACCUCCAUAUGCUGAGAUUGCGGCC
rnacentral:lncRNA from 1 species